rnacentral:rRNA from 1 species
AUUGAACGCUGGCGGCAGGCCUAACACAUGCAAGUCGGACGGUAGCACAGAGGAGCUUGCUCCUCGGGUGACGAGUGGCGAACGGGUGAGUAAUGUCUGGGGAUCUGCCCGAUAGAGGGGGAUAACCACUGGAAACGGUGGCUAAUACCGCAUAACGUCGCAAGACCAAAGAGGGGGACCUUCGGGCCUCUCACUAUCGGAUGAACCCAGAUGGGAUUAGCUAGUAGGCGGGGUAACGGCCCACCUAGGCGACGAUCCCUAGCGGGCCUGAGAGGAUGACCAGCCACACCGGAACUGAGACACCGUCCAGACGCCUACGGGAGGCAGCAGUGGGGAAUAUUGCACAAUGGGCGCAAGCCUGAUGCAGCCAUGCCGCGUGUAUGAAGAAGGCCUUCGGGUUGUAAAGUACUUUCAGCGGGGAGGAAGGCGAUGUGGUUAAUAACCGCAUUGAUUGACGUUACCCGCAGAAGAAGCACCGGCUAACUCCGUGCCAGCCGCCGCAGUAA